UACGUAGGUGGCAAGCGUUGUCCGGAUUUACUGGGCGUAAAGGGCGCGUAGGCGAUCUGACAAGUCUGGUGUGAAAGCCCACAUGUUAACUGUGGAAGUGCAUUAGAAACUGUUGGAUUUGAGUUCAGGGGAGGAAGGCAGAAUUCCCGGUGUAGCGGUGAAAUGCGUAGAGAUCGGGAGGAAUACCAGUGGCGAAGGCGGCCUUCUGGACUGACACUGACGCUGAGGCGCGAAAGCCAGGGGAGCAAACGGG
rnacentral:rRNA from 1 species